CCUCGGGCGACGGCACGGCUUUGGCCCCUCGUCUCGUCCCGAUCGGCCCUCGGGGAUUCGCCAGCGCUCGCGGACACGGUAGACAAUGUUGGCUCGGGGCUUUCGUAGCCCCCGCACCACGAUCGGUCGGCUCACUUCGUCGCCCUCGACAGGACGACNGUCGCGCCCGUCAUCCCUCCACCGGUCGCUUAACGGCGUCCGGCGGGGCACAGCGGGCGCGACGUCGCGGAGGACGUGCU
rnacentral:misc_RNA from 1 species